ACAACGGGUGGUAAUGCCGGAUGCUCCAGUUGAUCGCAUGGUCUUCUGGGAAAGCUUUCGCGGUAUGGGAUGGGGUCGCGUCCUAUCAGCUUGACGGCGGGGUAACGGCCCACCGUGGCUUCGACGGGUAGCCGGCCUGAGAGGGCGACCGGCCACAUUGGGACUGAGAUACGGCCCAGACUCCUACGGGAGGCAGCAGUGGGGAAUAUUGCACAAUGGGCGCAAGCCUGAUGCAGCGACGCCGCGUGAGGGAUGGAGGCCUUCGGGUUGUAAACCUCUUUUAUCGGGGAGCAAGCGAGAGUGAGUUUACCCGUUGAAUAAGCACCGGCUAACUACGUGCCAGCAGCCGCGGUAAUACGUAGGGUGCAAGCGUUAUCCGGAAUUAUUGGGCGUAAAGGGCUCGUAGGCGGUUCGUCGCGUCCGGUGUGAAAGUCCAUCGCUUAACGGUGGAUCCGCGCCGGGUACGGGCGGGCUUGAGUGCGGUAGGGGAGACUGGAAUUCCCGGUGUAACGGUGGAAUGUGUAGAUAUCGGAAAAGAAACACCA
rnacentral:rRNA from 1 species